AGCGAACGCUGGCGGCAGGCCUAACACAUGCAAGUCGAACGAACCUUUCGGGGUUAGUGGCGGACGGGUGAGUAACACGUGGGAACGUGCCUUUAGGUUCGGAAUAACUCAGGGAAACUUGUGCUAAUACCGAAUGUGCCCUUCGGGGGAAAGAUUAAUCGCCUUUAGAGCGGCCCGCGUCUGAUUAGCUAGUUGGUUGAGGUAAUGGCUCACCAAGGCGACGAUCAGUAGCUGGUCUGAGAGGAUGAUCAGCCACAUUGGGACUGAGACACGGCCCAAACUCCUACGGGAGGAAGGAGUGGGGAAUCGUGCGGAAUGGGCGAAAGCCUGACGCAGCCAUGGCGGGGGAAUGAUGAAGGUCGUAGGAGUGGAAAAUUCGUUCAACGGGGACGAUAAUGACGGUACCCGGAGAAGAAGCCCCGGCUAACUUCGUG
rnacentral:rRNA from 1 species